rnacentral:rRNA from 1 species
UACGUAGGUGGCGAGCGUUGUCCGGAUUUACUGGGCGUAAAGGGUGCGUAGGCGGAUGUUUAAGUGGGAUGUGAAAUCCCCGGGCUUAACCUGGGGGCUGCAUUCCAAACUGGAUAUCUAGAGUGCAGGAGAGGAAAGCGGAAUUCCUAGUGUAGCGGUGAAAUGCGUAGAGAUUAGGAAGAACACCAGUGGCGAAGGCGGCUUUCUGGACUGUAACUGACGCUGAGGCACGAAAGCGUGGGUAGCAAACAGGAUUAGAUACCCCCGUAGUCC